AUGGAAAUCCUCUUGAAAGAUCCUCCUCAGAAGAACGUGGUAGAAGAAGAGAGAGAAAAUCAGGCUACAAAAUCACCAUCAUUUUGCACUAGAGAGAGAGAGAGAAAGAGGGAGUUGUGUCCUUUGACUGAGCCAGCCGGCAUAAGCCGUCUAAGAAUUCAAUUGGGUCAGUUUGGGAUUUUCAAGUAUUGGAUUCAUGGUAGAAAAGUUCCAAUCUUUGCUUUUGGAUUGAGAAUAAAACUAGUGUGA